rnacentral:rRNA from 1 species
UGCCAGCCGCCGCGGUAAUACGGAGGGUGCAAGCGUUGUUCGGAAUUAUUGGGCGUAAAGCGCGUGUAGGCGGUUCGUUAAGUCUGAUGUGAAAGCCCGGGGCUCAACCCCGGAAGUGCAUUGGAAACUGGCGAACUUGAGUACGGGAGAGGAUAGUGGAAUUUCUAGUGUAGAGAUAAAAUUCUUAGAUAUUAGAAGGAAGACCAAUGGCGAAGGCAACUAUCUGGCUUAUAACUGACACUGAGGUACGAAAGCGUGGGGAGCAAACAGGAUUAGAUA